CAGACUCACUGUCCAUGCAGAUGGCUCUUCUUUCACCUCCACAAUGUUGCUUGGUUUGGCUGCUGAGGGUGGGACGGUUUCAUUCUGACCAAGCACUAUCACACGACACCAGGGAUGAGCUGAGUCCUCAUACUGAAAUAUCUUCCUGGGUGGAUGCUUGUCAAUUUUUGUGUUGGUAUUUAUUUGGAGACUGCCUGUUUCACUUCCUUCCAUAGUCGUGGUCUGCUGGGGUUUUGCCUGGACGCAAAAAUCAGGUUGCUGAAAACUCAGGCAAUCAGAUGUGCUGGGUCUUCUUCACUGAUAUCAAUCUCCCUGAGAAUCAUUUGGCUGCCAAAGAUACUGCUGACUUCUGUAUAGGACAGCUGGUGGGCUAGAAUUCCCUCCCCAUCAGAGUGUAGCUAUUGAAAGCCUACAGGUCCUGUGCUCUUUCUGCUGUGUACCCCUUUCGUGUUAGAAGUCCCUGAGCCCUAAAGGGAAGGGAUUGAUAGCAACACUCCAUUUAAGGAAGAGUGUGCCAAGGUUUCUCACUCACUGUGCGAUUACUGGCUGUGGGAAACUAGAAAAAAAUCAUCCUGAUUGAGAUGAGGUGAUGCCCUGGAAUGACUAGUGAAGAGGGAGAUGGGGUCUCCUCUGCAGUGCAGAGUGCUGGAUUUCCUCAGGUCCCAUGAUGGUUUUGUUUAUGUGGGAUCUCCCUGUCUGCCUCUACAUUU
rnacentral:lncRNA from 1 species